UAUUGGACAAUGGGGGAAACCCUGAUCCAGCAAUGCCGCGUGAGUGAUGAAGGCCUUAGGGUUGUAAACCGCUUUCAGUGGGGACGAACCAAGACGGUACCCACAGAAGAAGGUCCGGCCAACUACGUGCCAGCAGCCGCGGUAACACGUAGGGACCAAGCGUUGUCCGGAUUCAUUGGGCGUAAAGAGCUCGUAGGCGGCUCAGUAAGUCGGGUGUGAAACCUCCAGGCUCAACCUGGAGACGCCACCCGAUACUGCUGUGGCUAGAGUCCAGUAGGGGAGCGUGGAAUUCCUGGUGUAGCGGUGAAAUGCGCAGAUAUCAGGAGGAACACCAGCGGCGAAGGCGGCGCUCUGGGCUGGAACUGACGCUGAGGAGCGAAAGCGUGGGGAGCGAAC
rnacentral:rRNA from 1 species